rnacentral:rRNA from 1 species
AUGUUGGCUUAGAAGCAGCCAUCAUUUAAAGAGUGCGUAAUAGCUCACCGGUCGAGAUGCCCUGCGCCACAAAUGAAUGGGACUAAACAUACUACCGAAAUCGUGGAUUCGAAAGAAUGGUAGGAAAGCGUUGUAUUGACGAUGAAGCAAUCUUGGAAAGGGUUGUGGAGUAGAUACAAGUGAGAAUGUGGGCAUAAGUACACGAUAAGACGGGUGAAAAACCCGUCCGCCGUAAACCCAAGGUUUUCAGGGCAAUGCUAGUCAACCCUGAGUUAGCCGGUCCCUAAGCCCAAGCCGAAAGGCGUAAGCGAUGGGAAUUCUGUUGAUAAUCAGAAGCCAGUAUUAUUUUUGUUGGGAUGACGCGGAGGAUGGCAUAGAGCGGAUUAUUGGAUUUCCGUCGAAGACAUAAGGAGGCAUGAUGAGAGUUGUGCAUAAUCCGAGUGUGGAGCGAGGCUCGUUUAGGCGAGAGGAAGUCUAUGGAGUUUUCUGCCGAGAAAUAGUCCCGAAACAGUUAAGGUAAUACUGACCGUACUAAAACCGACACAGGUGGGUGGGGAGAAUAUCCUAAGGCGCACGAGAUAACUCAGGCUAAGGAACUCUGCAAAAUUGCUCCGUAACUUCGGGAGAAGGAGUGCCAACGAAAGUUGGUCGCAGUAAAGAGGUUCAAGCGACUGUUUACCUAAAACACAGGACUAUGCAAACACGCAAGUGGAAGUAUAUGGUCUGAAGCCUGCCCAGUGCUGGAAGGUUAAGAGGAGAGGUUAGCGUAAGCGAAGCUUUGAAUUGAAGCCCCAGUAAACGGCGGCCGUAACUAUAACGGUCCUAAGGUAGCGAAAUUCCUUGUCGGGUAAGUUCCGACGCGCAUGAAUGGUAUAACGAUUUGAACGCUGUCUCGGCCUGGGGCUCGGUGAAAUUGCAUGGUUGGUCAAGAUGCCAACUACCUGCAGCAGGACAGAAAGACCCCGUGGACCUUUACUGUAGCUUGGCAUUGAUGCUUGGUACGACAUGUGCAGGAUAGGUGGGAGACUAAGAAGCUUGACGCUAGUUAAGUGGAGUCAUCCUUGAGAUACCACCCUUGUCGUAUUGGGUUUCUAACGCAUCUAUUCCAAAGUUUAGAGCGGACAGUGUCUGGUGGGCAGUUUGACUGGGGCGGUCGCCUCCUAAAGAGUAACGGAGGCGCCCAAAGGUUUCCUUAUCUCGGUCGGAAAUCGAGAUGUAAGCGUAAAGGUAAAAGGAAGCUUGACAGUGAGACUGACAAGUCGAGCUGGUACGAAAGUAGGGCUUAGUGAUCCGGUGGUUGCGAGUGGAAGUGCCAUCGCUCAACGGAUAAAAGG